GGAUGUGCAAGGGUUUUGACCUCUGUCUGGUUUAUAUUACUCUCUGGGGCAGUUUACUCUACAAAUGAGUCACCUGCUGUCUGGGCCGUAGUCUGAGUGACCACUAAAGACUGAUGGAGGGUUUCAGAUUACACUCCUGUGGUAGCAGACUGGUACCAGAGUUUCGAGGAGGACGCUGGCCUGAUGCCAGCUAGGUGCAUGCUGGGAGUCCAUGCAGGGGAGACACUCCGACGCCACCCUGCUGAGAGCCGAUAGGAUUACUGUUUACAUUAAGCUCCAUGGGAAACGGCUUUCAUUGAGGGUGUGUGAGCUACAGUGUUAAGUCACACACACACACACACACACA